AAAAACACCGGCACCCCGAGGAUUAAUAUAACUAAAUAAUAAAAAAAUGUCAGUAAUUAGAAGUCGAGCAGGCGCGUUUCUUUCAGUAGAUUCUCCCCACGCGUAGAAUAUACCGCUCACUUCUUUUCGUCUCCCACUUUGAUAUACCGCUAAAUUAGGUUUACCCUUUUAUCUGUCCAACAGGCCUCCAGUAUUUCUGUUCAACGGGUGCACGUUGACGAGGUAUAUUAAUUUAAAAAAAUAUAAAAAAAUGAUGGCAGUGUAAAGCCUUGUUCACUCGGCGUGUGUCUUGGAGAGCUUGGUCUGAAACUAGUAUUGUCGGAAAAGUCAACUGGACGGAUGGCAAGCCUCAAUACGGCGUUCCCACGAUUCCUUGUGAACACAGUACUAGCGUUGAUCUUGGCUCAUGACAAUUGACUUCAUUGGGUGACAAAUGGCCGCUCGGGAUUCGCCAAGCCAACCUUUACGCGCCAUGGGAUUGGCUUGAGGUUGGAAUACGACAGAUCGCAAAUCCGUGAGUACGCUCGUCAAGCCACACGCAAAGGGUACAAGGAAGGAACAUUUAUACUUAAAACAUUUCUCUAGCCCAGAAACUUCAGGUGACUGUUUUCCAUUAUAUUGAUCAAGAAAGCACAAAACAAUUUGCAAUGUCUAAACGGGCGUUGAUUCAAACCGACAUCUCUUCAACUCAUUUUGAUUAUGUUCCCAUCGAUUUUUUUUUGGCCCUUAAUAAAACGACUCGAAGUGAAUAAAUAAGAGUACUUAUCUCAUAAGGACGACAUCGUGGUCUAGUGAUUAUCUGGUGUUUUUUUUGUUUGUUUUUACUUUAUGAUUGACCUUUUGCUCUCCUACUCCAAUAUCUUUUUCUUUUACUUUCUUUAUUAAAGAUUAGCCAUAUUUAUUUUAUAACAUAUAAAAUGUAACUAUUCACACAAAAAAUAUUUAUUUUUGCUUCCGAAGUACUGAAGCUAGGGAAGCUUUAUGUUCUUGCCGGAAGUCGGAAAUUUUUUUAUCCUCUAAAUUCAAAAUUUUCACUCGCAUUUUGCGUUUCAGACCUUCGUGAACAAAUUUGGUUCCUUGUCUGUCUGUCUUUUCAAUUACUUGUAACCGGCAAAACUCCCUGAGACCAAUUUUUGUGAAAUUUUCGGAGAUUGUGCGAGAUUGUGCCGGUUGGUUUCUAGAUGGCUCCCUUUGAUACAAUCGCAUCAGAGAUAACGCCUCCGCAUAAGUAAACGUAAAAUCACGUACACAGCUAUACCUCCGAAACCGUUAGUCGGAUUCUUAUGCAAUUUUCAGGGAUUAUGCGCGAGCAGGAGUCAAAUUAUCCUCAUUUUGGAAACACGGCCGGAACUAUGGUUCCGACAAGUGGAAGCCAUAUUCUUCACGGCAGGAAUAAAUCAGGAACUCUUAAAAUUCAAUUAUGUCAUUAUGGCUUUGGAUGUGGACACAGUGGCGCUAAUAUCCGAUAUUCUGGAAACUGAACCUUAUAAUACAAACUCUAAAAACACCUGUGGUCUAGAAUACAUCCGACAGAGGGACACGAAACUUCGAACCCUCUUGAUGGAUAUGCAUCUAGGGGACGAAAAACCUCCGACUUUUACGUACAAUGACGGAUUUAUCUAAAGGAGCACUCAGAGGACGCCAUAAAAAGUUUAUAGGUCCAGCGGUAACUCACCAACGUUCAAGCGGUUUUAUCGGUGAGCGUGGGUAACGAUAGACGACCGCAGUUGGCUCGGUUGGCCGACCGUGUUUUGGAAAUGACCUCCACCCCUACAAUUUGCUGCGUCCAGCAAGUGGACUCCGCCAGAACAAUCACGGAACUCGCACUUACUGACAUUCAGCGUCAACUAAACGACAUGCAUGUGCCAAUCGCAGCACUUUCCCGGAAUACAAGGGCGGAACACCAGAGGUACAAACAGCCCCAAGAAACACUCAUAACUGCUUCCAUUUUCGAGUAAGUCCGAGGAACACAACCACUUUAUGUUGGUUUUACUUGCCUUACGGUGAAGCUGCACACAAAUGCAUUCUCCCUGCGCCUACACCUCCACUAAGCAGACGGAAAACUCAUCCCCAUCAAUAAAGGCGGUAAACGAUGAGGCGAAUACCAUUACCGCCAGCCUUGCUUAUAUGUUACAGACCGUUACUUAGUCCACACUGCUACGGCAUUAUAGUAAGCCUGCACAAAACGUGAGGAAGCUAUACUGUUAGUAAGCAUGCACAAAACGUGAGGAAGCUAUACUGUCCAUUCACUUGGCAGAGUUUUUACAUCACAUUUGAACUGAAAUUCAAAAUUGCUUGCAGAAUUUCCACGUUCCAAUGUGAACUGCAGAUUGGUGGGGAGCGGGACCUUUCCUUGUGUAAUCUACAUUUCUGUUGUACCAACCUUCAGGGCUGGGCAUUCCAAAAACAAGUGGUUGGCAUAUCCGAUUUGCUGCAUUUGUACCAGUGAAAGGUUGUCAUUAAACCGUAUUCUUGGCAUACAUACGUAGGAUUUCCUUUUGUUUACUUUUUCAGACCAUCGUUUUUUCGGGAUAUACUUGUAUUGCACCAUAGUAUUUUCCGUUAGACCGCACGGAUUUUCGGGGAAUAUAAGAAUACAGCUCCGUAACUUCGCCACCCCUGCUUCUUCGCUUUGUUUUCUUUUAAAUCUCUAUGCACAUUUUUUGCGUAUGAAAUUACAGUGCUCUUAAAAACAAAUAAAUACAUCGUAGCACUGUAAUAUAUAUGAAUCUUGAUUAAAGCCACAUGUCAAAUAGUAUCAGUUGUAUUAACAAAAUUCAGAUUCUGGUUAAAAUGUAGUAAUUUGAUUGUAAAAUUUAAAUGAUGAAUUGAAGGGACUAGCUUGUAGUUGGACAAGUCUGACUGAAAUGGACAUUAUUAAUAAAAUUCGAAAAGUAAAUUGAUUUUGAACCUUUUUCACAAAUAUAAAGUACAUUGCUAAUGCAUAUUAACAAGCGUUUUUGUAGAGUGUAUCGAACAUUUCAUUUUUUCGAUUUGGAUAUCGGGAGGCCUAGGGGACAUUGCGUGAUCUUAAGCCGGCUCACGUACGUAAAAAUCCCAGCUUGAUGGGCUCGAGUCACAGGUAUGGGCUGGUAUCUGUUCGUUUACGAGAUUACAUAUUUUAAUCGCAGGGAUUAUUGUCACAAAAUCCUUUAUGGUUUUUAAGUGCAAAGGAAAUGAAGAAAAUAAUUCCCACUAUAUUUGAGUUUAUGUGCAUCCUUAAAAAGUAUAUACACUUUAUUACAUUUACUUUCAUAGAAAUUUCAUACUGUAGUUAAUUUUGGAAAAUAACUUCCUACGGAGUUUAUCUUAAUAGUUAUUUUUUCAAGUUCUCUUAAUUGCUUUCUCUAGGGGUUAUUAUACUCGGAUGAACUGUUGUUUUUACAAAAUGUUAUUGAUUCCUCAAUUCCUCGCAAAAUAUU